GCUGGGAGUGGUGGCAAGUGCCUGUAAUCCAAGCAUCUCAGGAGGCUGAGGCAGGAGGAUUUCAAGUUCCAAGUCAGCCUCAGCAACUUAGUGAGACCCUGCCUCAA
rnacentral:sRNA from 1 species